UACGGAGGGGACUAGCGUUGUUCGGAAUUACUGGGCGUAAAGCGCACGUAGGCGGAUUUGUAAGUCAGGGGUGAAAUCCCAGAGCUCAACUCUGGAACUGCCUUUGAUACUGGGUAUCUUGAGUAUGGAAGAGGUAAGUGGAAUUGCGAGUGUAGAGGUGAAAUUCGUAGAUAUUCGCAGGAACACCAGUGGCUGAAGGCGGCUUACUGGUCCAUAACUGACGCUGAGGUGCGAAAGCGUGGGGAGCAAACAGG
rnacentral:rRNA from 1 species